rnacentral:rRNA from 1 species
CCUACGGGCGGCAGCAGUAGGGAAUAUUGCUCAAUGGGGGAAACCCUGAAGCAGCAACGCCGCGUGGAGGAUGAAGGUUUUAGGAUUGUAAACUCCUUUUGUGAGAGAAGAUAAUGACGGUAUCUCACGAAUAAGCACCGGCUAACUCCGUGCCAGCAGCCGCGGUAAUACGGAGGGUGCAAGCGUUACUCGGAAUCACUGGGCGUAAAGAGUGCGCAGGCGGGCUUGUAAGUCAGAUGUGAAAUAUUGUAGCUUAACUACAGAACUGCAUUUGAAACUAUGAGUCUAGAGUGUGGGAGGGGUAGGUGGAAUGCUUGGUGUAGGGGUAAAAUGCGUAGAUAUCAAGAGGAAUACUGAUUGCGAAGGCGACCUACUGGAACAUUACUGACGCUCAUGCACGAAAGCGUGGGGAGCAAACAGGAUUAGAUACCCGAGUAGUC